AACCCAGCACUAGAAAUUAUGAGAUCUGGGUCAUAUAACCCUUGACAAAUUGUGUUCCUGUUGACAAAAUGGAGACUUAACUGUUGUUUUCAGGGUGCUAAAACAGAAACAAGGGCAUACAGCUGAUCUAUUGUGCUUUCCAACCCUUAUUUUUACAAAUGAUAAUCAGCUGAAAAGAUUUGAAUGUAUUUUCUAAAACAGAAAACUUCAGGCCCUUUCCCUUAGGAUAAUACAUAAAAUAUUAAGGUAUUUGUUUGGGGAAAGCAUGCUGUAAGUGAACAGAGCAGGCUGUGGAAGGAUUAGCAAUAGAGGUUAAUUUGCAUUUCUGAGCAUUUCCCCUCCUCAGAAGUCACAGUUUACCCAGGAAUCCCUGCAGACACCCUGCCUUGCCAUGAUGGGUCUGAGCAGGAAAGGGCUGGGCUGAAGCAUUGGGACCAGAUGUGGGGCAUGGCCAUGGCACAGAGGUGUUGUCUGUGUGUAAAUGAAACCAAAGAAAUGAAAUGGAGGUGUUAUGAGAGACGUGUAUCUCUUAGCGUUAUCCUAAGAGUGGCUGAAUGAAGCAUUGUACUUCAAACUACGCAAGUUUAGGUAUGAUUUUGCUUUUGUAAUUUGGUUGAUUUUUUUUUUAAUACUCCAUAGUAAGUUAUAAUGACAACUCAAAAUUGGAAGCCUUCAUACAAAUCCAAACUAAUAACCUGCUCAUUCAAAAAAUGAAAAUUAUUAUGAUACCAUACAACCUCAGCAGUAGUUUGGUUUUGUUUAGAGGUACAGACUUGGGGAACAGCACUAACUUAGCAAAAUAAUUCCCAUAUCCCUUUCAGAAUAUAAACAAAGCAUGUUUCUAUACUGAUAAUGGAGUAGGCAGAUGAUCAACAAGGUUGGCACCUUUUAAAUAGAACCACUAAUGCUUUUUGUGUUGCAGCCUUAUUGGAAUUGCAAAGGAGAUGAAGAAGGGCAGGAGAGGUGAAAAAAGUGAUAAAGGAUUUAAAACGAUCCCUUUGUGCAACAUGCAAACUCCUCUUUAGUGCAUUUGUUAGGUCUGGCUGAAUUAUUUGGAGUGAAUAAUUUACAUCACUACUUUUGGACUUUUUUCCAUCAAAGAGAUUAUUUCAAGGUCUAUGUGAAAUUGAAUCAUACAUGAUAAAUACUUUGGUAAUCUUAUUUUGUAUUUACAAAUUAUGUUAAGUAACAACAAAUUGUUUGCAACCAGAUGUUCAUGUGAAUUUCACCAAUCACAACAGUAGAGAAAAAAGUGCCUACUAAAAUAAUAUAAACUCAAAAUAUAUAAAUAAAAAAACCAACCCUUUUAAAAACAUACUUUUAAUUUUAGAAAGCAUCUAUAAAUGAAUCAGCAAAAAGAAUUUUUUUAAGGGCCUUUCAGGGAAUGUAGGAGACAAGGUAAACAUGGUGAAGAUUUCUUUGGAACUCCCUCUCUUCAUAGUUAAUUUGGGAUUCAAAAAUAAAAUUUUCUUUUGAUUGUAUGGAUUGCAUAGCAAAGAAUUUAGAGCUGAAUUUCAAAUGGUCUACAGGAGAGACAGUUUCUAGAGCUUUGAAACUGGUAUGAUUACACAAAAGUCAUAGCUAGAGGAGCAAGGAUUAUUCUUCCAUGGAUGAUUUGAAUCCAGAAGGUCAGAUAGAAACAAAGUACUUGUACCUAGAUGUCCCUUAUUUCUUUUCUUCAAACAUGUGAACUGCAUGCAUUACAGUCCUGCCACAAUUUGUCUUCUGCAGGAACCAUAGAGAACUAAUAUUCUGUUUAACAUUAAUUUCUCUGAGGUACUGUGAAAGAGGAGAAUGGGAAUCCACAAAGGUCCACAAUUUGGAGACCUUUCAACUUGCAGGUGCAAUUAUUUGCAGGCAAAACCCCUCUCAGCCUACACAAGCUGAAAUAAAUUAAAGUGUACUAGCUCUAAUUACUUGCUCAAUCUUCAACUUUGAUUCUGUGGGUGAGUAUGAAUUCAGAAUCCUCGAUGAUACUAUAUGGAUAACUAAACAUCUAUAUUUGCUCUUAUUUCAUGGGAAUAUCGGUAUCUUAAGAAGGAAUUUACUGAUAACAAAGGAACUGAAAAAUUUUACACUUCAGCAAUAAUGUUGACUCUGCAGUGACAUGAAUUGUAAAAGUGGGUACCCUAAAAGUACAAAAAGAGGUCCUUGGCUAAAUCCAGAACACUGAUUUGUUAACUGGAAUGACAGCAUUUUAUAAAAUUAAUCUUCAUUACUAUGAUUCCUCUUUGAAAUAGAUAGAACUGUUGAGUUGUUUUAAUUCUUUUACUGAAAGAUGAUCAGAAUUUGACAGAACAAUCCUAAUAAUUCAGAACUGUCAGAAUUUGUAAUUAUUACUUGUUGUGAGAGACUGAAAUUGGUUAAUGGUUUAAACAUUGUUAAAAUCAUUGGAAGACUUUUGUCCACUGUAGCAAACUGUGCAAAGAACCAACUGCUCACCAAGUCCACCCCUCCCUGAAUAUGCCUACUCAUUUGGACUAUGAUGGUAACUUGAGAUGAGAUAACGGCAUCCAAUUAUCCCAGGAGAAGAAUGUAUCCACAAGUGUGAAAGAGUGGAACGCUGAUGGCUCAGCCAAUCAAGAUGUGCAAAGUAACCACCCAGGUGCUGAGGGGAUGCACACCAUCACCUCAGGCUACAAACUGGGUGUUGAACAGGAUAAGGAAAGAGGCAAAUCCUGUGCGGUGGGGCAGUGUUUCUUUGUCUUAACACAAAUUAGUCAGCUGUGAUAACUCCCCUCUGGGGAACUACCAGAACAAUUCCCAGGUAGCCUGAAGGUAUUCAUCUCUGCUGAUGGGCCAUAAUGGUCUAUAAUGGACUCACUUUCACUGACUUAAUAGGCAACUGUAACAUUUAGAAGGUGACAAAGACUCCUGAAAUGUUCCCUGAUCCAAUAUUACAUCAUCCAGUGUAAAACUCCUUGCCCCGGAGGAGGUACAAGGGGCCUUUCUACCUAAUCUAAGCGUAAUAAACAUAUCCUGCUUCUUUGCUCACCCGCAGACUUCCCUCACCACACAGGCUUCUUCCCUCACCACCCUGGACUUCCCUCAACGGAUCCAGACUGCAACCAUCACUUCAACAAGACUGGGACUCUCACCACUGAGAAGGUCACACAAAGAGGAUCAAUGGGACACCGUGGGAAUCGACAGAGUGGUGAUACUUUUUCUUCUUACUCUAUCUCUCUGUCACUCUCUCUCCUCUGCUCCCUCUUUUCAUUAUUUCUUUCUAUCUCUCUCUAUCUCACAUUUACUGUUAAAUAAAAAUCCAUACUAUUGACUUUGGCAUAUGGUCUCAUUUACACCUUAAUUUAGGCAGAGGCAUCUCUCUAAUAACGUUAAAGAACCUGAUCAUAACACUCGUAUUUUUAAAUUUUUGUUCAGUUAUUUUUACCUAUGUGAAUUGUACCUAGCAGAUGAUAAAUACAUUUUAACAUAGGUUUUAAGAGAAAGAUAAUAAAAACUACCUAGAGAUAAGGGUGUUAAAAUGCCUUAUAAUUCAGCGCAUCCUUUAUUGAAGAGAUUUGACCCCUAUCUCCUAUUUCAAACAAUGAUCUACAGCAGACGUAGAGUUUAAAAAAAUAAAUAUAAAUAAAAAAAUAUGUAUCAACUGUGUUGUUUUUGAGGAAAAGUAAUUUUGAAUAGGAUCAUAUUUCACAAUUAACUUAAUUAACUUCAGAGAACAGUACAUUCUGCUUUACUCUUCAUCUAGAUAGUUCACUAGAUAAGAAUGUACUGCAUGCACAGGGUAACAGGAAAUAUAAUCUUUAAAUUAUUUCAAUAAAUUAUGUCCUGUCUUGCUAGGUAUUGUUUUACUGGAAAGAAACCCAAACUAUAAGUCUAAAAUAAAUCAGUGUUUAUCAUAAUGCUUUAAAUGCUGAUAGACUUCUAUUGUUAUAGCAAAAACAAACUACAAUAUUUGGUAGUUUUAUCAUUAAAGAGAGCACCAACAGAACUGAGAAUACAAUACCCCUAUUUCAUUGUUCUCUUUAGGGCAAACAAGCCUUUCUGCAGCUAGAUGUGCUGUGUGAUGGAGAAGAUAACACGUUAAGUCUUGAUUCUGUAAAUAAGUGGAGUUAGUUUGGCCGCACAGGGACAGUCAGUCUGUGUGUGACCAGUUCUAAAACUGGAUCUUAUUUUUAAUGACUUAUGACAAGAGGUUUUAUAUCUCUUCUGUGCAUAGUAUUUGCCUGCCUUUCUUGUUUUUAUGCUCACAGAAUCACGAAAUCACAGAAUCAUCCAGGUGGGAAGAGAUUUUCAAGAUCAUCUAGUCCAAUCGUCAACAUAGCACCGCCAUAAUCACCCCUAAACCAUAUCCCCCUGUGCCACAUCCAGCCUCUUGAACACUUCCAGAGGUGUUGACUUCACCACCUCUCUGGUCAACUUAUUCUAAUGCCUGACCUCUCUUUCAGUGAGAAAAUUUUUUUCUAAUAUCCAAUCUGAACCUCCCCUGGUGCAACUUGAGGCCCUUUCCUCUUGUCCCUUCAGCUUGACACAACAGAAGAGAUUGACCCUCACUUCACUACAAUGUUCUCUCUGUGUCUUUCUGCUACAAAUAUUAUUUCUCAGGGAAAACAAAUGAGACCAGAGUUUUGAGAUGUAACAGGACUAGUACUGGUUUCAAUGGAAUGUACCAUGGAAAAUUGUGUAUAGCUGAGCCAAGUGAUUUAAAGGAACUAGCCAAGCAAAGUAAAGAAACAAUGAGGAAGGGAACUGGAGCAGCCAAGCAGGCAACACCAGGUUACUCUAUAACCAGGUGUAUUGUCAUGAAGUCCAUAAAGUACUUCAUUGGGGGCUCCAGGCAGAAACAACCACCAGAGACACUUGGUGAAGCCCCUCAGAGAUGUUAUAAGGAUGUGUAUAUGUGCUGCUAAUAAGUGUUGGGAAAUGUCAUGAAUAUGUAACAGGAAUGCAGGGAAUGAAAAUGAAUAAUCAUAUAAUAUAAAUAUAUAAACUGUAACGAAGGUACCUCUGUGUGCACUUUUGGUAAAAUGAUUGCUAGGGCAUCCAGUGCACUGAAAUCAUCCGGUGCACCAUAAUAAAAGAAUUCUUGCCUGCUAAAACUCACAAAUUGAGUCUUAGAGUUUUCUUUUAAGUGCUAAUUUUAGGCAACCCAAAGAUAGGACCAUGGUCAAUUGUUUAUGGCCAGCUACCUUACUCUCAACUACAGAUGACAAAAAUCUCAUUUGGUUUUCUAGCCUUUCUCUUUGGUUACUGUUGCUUACUCUUACAGGCUCACUGGCAUUUAUGUUUGUUUACAUUUAUUUUAAUUUUUUAAAAUUCUACCUUGCACUUCUUUGCUCAAAUGUCUGGGUUUUGAGGAUGCUUUGGACAGGCCACCAGUUUUAACACCUCAGAGUUUUGCUGAGUGAUUUUUAAAAAGUCUUCCUCUCAAGAACAAGGGUAAGUUUAUUUUGCUUUUAAGAUUUGGAUGUACUCAGAGGAAUGAAAAAGUUGAGGUCCUGUAACUCUUGUGUUGCUUACUGGCUUUAAAUCAUGAUAUGUAAUCACCUACUACGUGUGGCUUUCUGACUGCAAGACUUUUUACUCUCCAGCCUCUUCUUCAGUCAGAUUGCAACUCUUGGAUACCACACAAGACCCAGCAGUGGGUGUUUGGGAAUAGAGCAAGAGUAAAAAAAGUACACUCCUCCCUGUGCCUUCAGUGAUAAUUUGAGUGUUAGGUAAUGAUAGGGGUUAUAGUCAUCCUCAGGAGUACUGCACUUGCUGUCUAAUAAUUUUUAAUUUAUUUCACUGUUAAAGAGCCUUUUACAAUUUGGGCUUCACCAUAUCCUGGGGAAAGAACUUCACAGACUCAUUUAUAUAUAUUUCCUUUUUAUUUAAGUUCUCAGUUCUUCCUCUCUUGGAAAGACACUAGUGAUUUUUUUAUAUCUUUUUCAUAACACCCCUGUCUUAACUGUUCUCCAGCUCAUAAGUCCUAAUCUAUUUAGUUCUUUUACAGAAGCAGUUUCAUAGCUCCAAUUAUCCUUUUCUUGCUUCUCUGUGUUGUUUUGGUUCUGCUACAUUUUUUUGGCACAGAAGUGAUCAAUAUAAUCCACACAUCAUUCAAGAUUUUCUCAGAGAUAUAUUGUUAUUCUUGUCUCAUUUUCUAUAUCUCUCACCACCAUUUCAGAACCAGAUGUGUUUGUAACUCUGUUGAACAAUGAGAAGAUGAACCGUCCACAGUGGUUCCAAAAUCUCUUUUCCAAGCAACAGGAACCAGCUUGGUGUCCAUCAGGCUACAGGAGCAGGCAUGAUGAUUUUCCUACAGCUUACUAGAAAUCCAGUUAAUAAAGCCACUGGAAUCUGGAGAGCUGUUCUGCUGACCAAGCUGUGCAGAGGACUCAAUUUCACCAGUGUUCAAUAACUUUUCUGACAUCUUGGACUGUCCAAAACAUCUCAUGGGAGUAGACUUCUUAUUAUGAUAGGAUUUUUAAGGCACACCCACUUGUCUCUAGAGCUAGGCCAGGCUAAAUACUCUUAGAAAAAUGGCACUGGAAAACAGGAAACUAAACCUAAGCAUUGCCUUAUGGGUCACACAGUCCUGUCCAGGAGUCACAGGACCUGUAGCCACAUAUCGGGUAAGUUUCUGCUGCCUAGGGAGAGCCAAAAGAAGCUUAACCACAUGUACAUGUAGAUGCCACAAAUAUUUAAUAUAGAGAUAAAUCCUAGCCCCUCAGCCUGCUUCAGUUGCCAGUACAGACCCCCAGUAUCAUAUGAAAUGUCUUGGGGUAUCCUGUCUAGUAGGUCCUGUGUCAUAACUGCCAGUUGUAUGUGAACACGUCUGAUAGUUUACAUCUUGAUGACUCUAGAUGCUUAUAUUUCAAAAAUCACUGUAUCUGAAUCAAGCAUAAUUACCUUUCCAGUGUUUCCAGAGUCCUUCAGAAUUGAGCAGUUAACAGUAACUAGAGAUAGCUAUGUCCAGUUGCCUUUAAUACAUGAGAGAUUUGGGGAAAAAAUUGUUGACUUUGCUGUUAAGCUGCUGUUCUAGUGUGUUAAGAAAGGUGUAAACCUUUUAAAUCAUUGCUAAAAACUCAGGACACUUCUCAAUUUAUCCAAACCCAGAAAAUAAGGAAAGACUCAUGCACUUCAUGAAUCAUCAGUAUUUUGUACUCCCAAGCAUUAAUAGCAACACCAGCUGAUAUUUCAUUGUUGACUUCUCAUGGGGAAGGCUGCAGAGGAAUUAUAACAAGAAAUUUUGAUAAACAUACUUUUUUUUUAAAAAAAGCAAGUCAACACAUACCAAAAUUUUUUUUAAUUCAUAUCUAUUUUAAAAAAUAUAAAAUAAUAGCUUGUUUUGAUCCAGUUCUUACAGUCCUGCAGGUGCUGCUUCCUUAGACAGUCCGACUGUUAGAGCAGGGAGCCGUCUGGACAAUUGGUCUGGGUCUGCCAUGAUGAUGACUUGCUCAGAGGCUGUUAGACAAAAAAGCUAAUUAAAAUUAAUAAAUCAAAAAAUAGCGCAAUGAUAUCCCAUUGGAAAAUGCAGCUUCAUCACACUUGGAAUAACCUGUGGGAGUGUGGUAAUAUGAUAGCAUUUCUCUAGGGCAAAAGAAAUUACCUGAUUACCUUGAUUUUCCUACAAUAAUAAUGCUAAAACAUUACAUUCAGGCAAUUCUGAAUUGUAUUUGAUAUUUAAAUUAUUUUCUUCUCAUAUUAUAAAAAAUAAAUAUUUCAUUUACAUGACAUUUAACAUUAGAAAAAUUUGCUGUUGUCAACAUGCAGGGUUCCAAGAAGUCCAAGCUUAUUCUUUUGAGGGAGUGAGGGAAGUGUUCUUUUCAAUGAUAAUUACAGAAAUUAUGCUUUUGUGCUAAUUUGGAAAGAAAAACAGUCUGAAAAGCUGAUUUUCCCCUUCAGACUACGAGAUUUGGUUGAAAUGUGAAAAUACUGUUUCCAGCAAGCUAUAUAAGCAUUAGCACUGUGCCUGAAAGCAAUGAGCAAGAGAAGGGAACCUUGUCACUGUUGUGUUCUCUACUGUCCUCUCUUCCAGCUCUCGGUCCAAAACAAAUUCUCUGCCACUGUGUUGGAGAGAGAAGGGGAAGGCUGAACAGCUUGAAGUUUUGUUAAAAAGAAAAAAGAUCAAAAGCAAUAUAUUUCCAUCUUCCCUCAUAUAACUGUAUUGUUCAUUCUACUCAUACCUUCUUAUUAAAAACAUGUAAACCAGAAAGGGAUCUCAUUUUUCAUUCCUUUUUUUUUUCUAAAAGGGAUAUUCAGAAGUGUAGACCAUUUUAAUUAGCAACUUCUAAUAAGUCUAAGGUCUAUUAUGUCAGACUUGGAAGAAAUCGAUCCUUUCACAGUGAGAGCAUUACAAAGAAUUCCAAAAUCCUUUUUCAGUCCAUGUGAUCUGUGCUGAGAUAUAUUCACUGGGGAAUAUCUUUCAUCACACUACACGAAAUUUCAUGCUAGUACAUUAACAUUAAGAAUACUUUUUUUUUCCCCACAAAGCUUUUGGUAAGAAUUUAUAUGCACUGUCACAUACUAGGGUGUCUCUGUGUAUGUUUCAUGGCAUGUAGAAUAAUGAUAGCAUAAACCUGAGAUACAGCAUAAAUGUCAGCACACUCCCUCAGCUGUUUCAUGUAACCAGUUCAGCUUCUUAAUGUGUCAUCCUAAAAGUAGCUAUCUUAUAUCUGCUGUGUUCACCUACAAUAGAGAGAUAUCUACCUCUCUAUUGCUGCUAUUUUAGAAAAUAGCUUACACUGACAGCAAUUCUGUUUUCCUUUAGAAAAUCCUUGAAACAAAAUGGUUGUAACUGUUGCUUUCUUGUCUAAAGUAAGUAUCUGUCAUUUAUACUGUGCCAGACCCCUUGAAAGGGCUUUUCAAAAGUUAAUAACUAUUUUUUGCAACACUCAGUGCAUUAGGAUUUGCUCAUUUGUCAGCUAGGUAAUUGAAGAUGUAAGGAGGAAAAGUGACUUAGUCAAGGUUGCACACGAAGCUGGCAAUAGCAAUAGGUGUAGAGUUCAAAUCUUUUCUUUCCACUGCUCUAUUGAAUGCUUUUCCACUUUGUGAAUAAAGACCAUUUCAUUCUGUUUUUCUCAGGACCGUGGAACUAAUUCAUCAGUGAGGAGAAAUAAGUUGGUCUUUUUUUUUUCUGGUCUUUUUUUUUUAAUGUAAAGAAAUUUUCUCAAAUUUUGAAAGCUCUUGUCCAGCUGAACAGCAAUCAAAGCUGUUUGCUUUGGAGAUGACCAUUCACCUACUCCAGAUUAGGUGACAGCCUCCAGUACUUUGUCCAAAGACAGAGUUCCUGAAGUUUAGGAUGGGAGACCAGACUUUCCAAAGAUAACAACUCUCUUUGCCAAUACACUGUUGCUUGCAUCAAUUGGGAAAUAUCACCUUUCUUUUUUUUAUACAAUCCAUAAAAGUGGAGUGGGAUUUUAUUAUAUUCAUUUUAUACUCCCUCUGUAAAGUAGAACUAAGCACUAUAUUUUUAACAAAGAUACAUAACUGCAUGAACAAUGAUUCAUCUGGUCAAAUGUAGUCAUCUGACUAAUAGUUCACAAUACUCAUAUACUAGAACUAACCUGUUCAGAUGUGGCAAUCCAGACUGAGAUAUCUAAGUUUACUGAUGAGUGUUGUCAAUGCUGCAUUCUGUUACAUACAGAAAUUCAGGACCUAUUUUUAUUUCCCAGACUAGCCAAAACAUAGUAGAUUUUCAUAGAUUUUUUUCAUGGGUAUAGAGUAGAAUAUAUUGAAUUCCAAUGGCAGACAGCUUAAGAGGAAAAUUGAAAAAGGUAUAGACUUUUUUCUUCAGUUCUGUGAUCUAACACAGGCUAAAAAGCAGACUAAACCCUGGCAUAUUUUCCCACAACUAUGUUGAGUAUUGUCUGGAAAAAUAUGAGAAAGCAAAGAUAAAACCAUGCCUAUGAGCUUGCUUACAAUUAAUACCACAGAUGGUUUCCUAUCACUGAACCCAAUUGUGCCUUAGUCUUAUUUUGUUUAAUAGGGUAGACUUAACCUAAAAACCUAAGUUCAGCUUUGUCAAGUGGAGUGUCCAAAGAAGCCAAUCCCCAGGGUUUUGGCCCAACAUUAUUUGCAUGUUGUUUUUGUUUGCAUUAUUUAGUUAUUGCAAUCUUUCUACUUUUCACUUCUAUGCAAUAUGCAUAGCAGAAAAAAAUUCUAUACAAUAGUACUGACAAAAGUUGAACCUUGUCUUUAGAUUAUGAUUGCAUUAAUUCGGAAAGACAGCACCAUUUGAUCUUAUUUUUCUACCCUAUAUGAAAUUUCUUUCUUUCUUCUCACCUCUGUUAACAUAUCCUUUUAUAUCUAAUUGAUUUCUCAUUCCAUCCACAUCUGCAUAAAUUUACGGUUCCAUAAAUCAGUAUGCAAAUGCAGGCUGAACAGCCCUACUGUGUAGGUGUGAAUAGGUCACCGUUGCCAUAAUUAGCAGCACACCUGCUGAUGUUGAUGGUUAUUUAUUGUUUCUUUGUUAUAUUGUGUCAGAAGAAAUUAAAGAUCAUUUUGUUACCUAGAAUUCCUGACUAAAUUUGAUAGACAGCAGUGGAAAGGACAAACUCAUAUGAAUUUUAUCUCACUCACAAAUUACCAUUUUUUUAAAGGGCAGGUUCAAUUCACUGAGAAAAUUCUUAAGAUAAAUUAUACAUUUGUGUUCAUUACUUAAAAGGGUUAUUUGAUGGAAGAAUUCUUUUACAUUAUUUCAUCGAGUAAAAGGUUUCCCUUGCCAAGUGCUAGUCCUUGUACACAAUUACAUUUAUGUAAAAAAAAAAAAUUACAUUUUUUCCAGAACAAUUCUUGUAUGUGCAUUUUCUAGUGUAAAUUUUUCUAAGUUGUAAGUCUGGGUGUUACUGGCAGUAAACAUUGCAAAUUUUCUAUACUGAUAUUCCUAAACUGAAAUUGCAAUACAUCUUAAACUUAAAAUCUUAAAAUACUUUUAGUAAUGCAGUCUGCUAUGCAGAUGAAAGCUAUCUGUAUACUGAACUGCAUUAGUCACAGCCUGGCAGCAUGUCAGUGGAAAUGAUUAUUCCCCUCUGUUCAGCACUUGUGACAUCACGUCUAUUCUGCAUUCAGUUUUAGAAUCACUUGUGCAAGGAAGACUUUAAAAACUAAGUCCAGCAAAAGGCCAUUCUUAAGUACAAUUUAGAGGACUGAAGAACUGGAAAACCAAAGAGACACUGAAAAAAAUGGGUUUAUUCAGUCAGAAAAGAAGAAAGUUGAUAGAACUGAAAGACUGUUUUCACCUAUCUGAUGCAGGAUUGUGGAGGAGUCAGACUCUUGGAAGUGCACAGCAAAUGCAUAAAAGCAGAGAUGCAAGUUGCAGAAAAGGAAAUUCAGGCUGGCUAUAAGGAAAAAAAAAUUGCAAUGAUGGUGGUAAGAACAUGGAUGCAGGGCCCAAAGGCCCUCAGGGGUCCCCAUCCCAUAGAUAUUGAAAAUUUGAUUGAUCUGGAAGUCAUAUCCUCUGAGAAGUGUAAGAGUUCUGAGGAAUGAUCUGCUUUGUAUUGUAUACAAACGGCUUCCAAUUAUUUGAAGCAAACACGUAACUGAUCAGCAUUGCUACAAUCUCUUGCAUUCUGUAUUACAAUGCUUUUCUUGCUGCCAAAGACAACUUUUAUAUUUUCCUGACAUAAAACAGACAUGUCAGUACUUUGCAACCUAAAUUUCUAAUGGAGGCUGCUAUUAGAACUGAUGCAGUCUCAGUGACAAGUUUGCUUUACCCUGCAAAGGAAAUGGUAUGUGUAUUGACACAGAGGAUGUCCUUUGACACGUCAAAGGUGUUUUCUUUUUCACGCAAAAGAGAGGACAGCAAGUGGCAGUGUAUGAGGAUUAAUGUAUACUUCAGUAGGGUAUGUUUCCUCUUUCCUGUGUUUUGACCAAAUAUUGCCUUUAAGCAUCCUAAAAUGGAAUACCUGGAGAUAAAAUGUAAGAAACAAAGGAGUAUAUAAAAGUAUUCAGAAGUUUGAAUAGUGCUGCAGGUAUCUGAACCUUUGUUAGUGCUACUAAUGUUUUUGUAUCCUCCUCAUGUCUGUAUCUUAUGGACUGUUACUCAUAUGAGUUCUAGAAUCCAAUUUUCACCUAAGAAGCUCAUGCAAUACUUGUAUCAAAUCCAUACUGCUGGUCAUGGAUAAGUCUGAAGAAAGGUCACAGUGAAGACAGGAAGUCAUAUUUUAUUUGGGAAUGUUUGGGGUUUUUUGUAGUUCCCAAGGCCAUUCUCUAAUUGCUAGACUCAGGAUGUUAAGACAUCACACCAACCCGAUUGAGUCAGGAUGCCUCAUCAGCACUCUUAUGAAUAAGAGGAAAAAAGGAGUCAGGAUUAAUGAAAGGAAACAGAAACUAUAAAGACAGUACAAAGAAAAAAAAGUGGAAGAUGGAUAUAAGGAGAUUUUCUAGAAGAAAAUCUAGAUAAUAAAAGGGGUAGAAAAACAGGCUGAGAAGAAAACUAGUGAAGAAAUUAUGUUCUGCACUUGGGAAUCAAUACAUUGCAGUUUAAGAAGCCUGGGAGGAAAAGAGUCUUCUGAGACUUACAUGCUAAACUGAAGAUAUAUUAUUCUAUUCUACCAUGCAAUGUCAAAUGUCUCUUGAAAACCUAAAUAGAUUAUGUCUACCACUUCAGUCCUAUCUGCUCCCUGCAUUCUCCUUAUGAUAAGACAGAGAUUUAUAUUCUUAUUCUUCUCUGAUAGGUGCAUCAAUUUCUGCUGUCAGGUUGCCUGUCCGAAUAACAAACCUGCAUAUCACAGAACUGUUUUAAAUGUAAUGUUGAUAGAUGUUGUUUGUGUGCACUUGGCAUCAACUUACAGUCACUUCCCUAAAAAUCGCAACCUUCUCAAGAAACACUUAUUUUCUAUCUUUCCCAUAUUCUCAUCAUCAAGAAUUAAUUGUGGUCAGAGAGCCAUUAUUUGGGAUAUUUCUAGGAAUUUUGUGCUUCCCUGUCACUAAAAUGAUUCACUAAGCUGUUUGGAGUACCCCACUUUUUCUGGCUCCAAAAACCCUGGUUUGCAUUUUGGGGACGGAAGAGUUGCCAACACUGAACAAAGAUGACUAUUUUCAGUGAGAUCUCUGGUCUCAUAAAGCAUUGAAAAAUGUUCUCCUGCCUCCAUAGCUGCUGCUGCUGCCUGCCAGCACUCACCUGUGCUCUCUCCAGGACCUUGCACUGUCUCAGCUCCAGGCAGCAGCCCCCCACCCCUCUCUCCUGCCUACUGCACACACCUACUUCUGCCUUUCCUCUACUCCCAGCUAGAUUAUUUGUCCAAAUACAAUUUCUUUCUCCAGAUUCAUACUCUCUUCUGCUUGUUACUUUUCCCUCACAGAAGCAGUGCAUGGCAACUAAACCUUGACCAAGUAGCUGGUCUUGGCCAGUACAGUCAAUGACAAAAACCUGGGUUCUUUCAAGAUGUUGCUUCAGCUCCUUCUCUCCUGGACCUACAGCAAGGAAAUGUAAACAUCUCCCAGAAUGAAAAAAACCAAGUUUUAAUCUCUCUUGAGUAUUGUUGCGCUGAUUUCUUAAGUAAACAGGAUACAGAAGUAAAGUCAGAACAUUUUUUUAUGCAAAUAAUGAACUACGUACUGGCUAAUACCACACCAUUAUUAAAACUCUUCUUGUUUGGGCUUUUUUUAUUUUGAAAAUUCCAUUUUGACAAUAUUAUUCUCCUAUAUAUUUUGCAUUCCUAAUUCACCUCCCUCAUAACUCACAGAGAAGUGAUUUCACAUACUGCUCUGCACACUGCAUAGGAACUGUUAAUUUCUUGAAUAAGCUGUAGACACCUUCAUCAGUUUUUCAGUUUCAGACUUCUUGAAAUAUUCAGUUUGCAAAACUGGUAUUUUACUUGUAAUCUAUCUUUAUAAACUCACAGAAAGUCUGUUGUAAUGCACUGUGUUUGCUCUUUUCCUCCCUGUCUUCAUAUAUCCAUGCAACAUUCACAGACAUUCAGUGUGUAUCACAUGCAACAGUAUAUUCUAAAUGUUAUUCCUUACAUUUUAAAGUCAUUUUGCCUCAAGUAUUUCAGCAUUAUCAGAUUAAAGCUCACAGUCAUGUGGGAUCAAUAUUUUUAUAUGAUUACAUAUAACUUGUUUAAAAACUAUUUGAACAAUGCUUAUGAAUGUACCUUAUUGAUUUCUACUAAAUAUGAUAAAUUUUUCCUUGUUGUUCCUACCAAAAGGAAGUCAGUAGGAAACUUAUCACAGGUCACAGUGGAUCUUUGGACCAAACUUAUAAAACUAUGGCAUUAUCAUUAAAGUUAAUGCUUAGCAAUGACCAUGACAGAAUGAAGAUGGCCUCAAUUCUUAUGUAAUUCUACCAUAGUAAGUAGAAUUAAGCAACAGAAGUGCUAUGCAUGUUACCUGCAAGAAAUCUUGCUUAUUUUUUCAUGAGUGCCUGCAUACCAAUUUCUACCAGAAUGCAGUUAAAUUUCUGCUAAAAGACAUCUAAUGGAAGAGUUCUGCCUAUUGCAAUGAUACAAGCAUUGAAAGAAUUUCUUAUCAGUCUGAAAAACGAACUCACAUUUCAAUAGUCAACAUGACCGGAAAAUUUCCAAUUCAAAAUAUUAGUUAUUGAGUUUAUUCAAAACAAUUGGUAAGACCAUCAAGAGAAUUGUUUCAAACUUAGCUAGGUGAUGGCAUUUUAUUUUUUCAGUUUUGGGUGAAAAAUCAAAAUACUAAAUCAUUCAUGCAAAAUGGAAUUUUGGAAAACAUCCAUUUUAAAUUAAAAAUUUAGAUUUGAAACUUAAUUUCUCAAUUUCAUUCCAUCUCAUUUCAUUAAUUUAAAUACCAAAUUAACUGACUCAAGUGUUAUACACUAUGAAAAAAUCCAGUUGAUCAAAACUAGCCCUUUCCUGAAUACAGUUUCAAUUCAUGUUCUUUACAGCUAUACAUUUCCAGUGAAGCAAUCAGAUAUUUCCUACUACAUCCUGAAUAUAUCAUUUUUCGAGGACACGAAUCUUACAAUAAAUAUGUCACUUUUUCUGAUGAUUGAAGAAAUCAGCAGUCCUGUUAACUAUUUUGCCUAGAGAGUUAAAUGUGACCAAUUUUUGAAAGAAAUAUCCUUAAUUCCUGAAAUAAAGGGUUUUUUUAACAGAUUUUAAAACAUAUAUAAAUGUAAAUGCCCAAUCACAAUGACAUUCAGAAUACUCUUCAAUUUUUUUUCUAAGUUAGAUGAGAAUUAAGUAACAUAACAGUAGUAUAUUGGAUAGCAUAGAAUUGUAUUUUGCUACAGUGUUACAGAUUGUUAUAUUGUAUUAUUGUAUUUCUGAAAGAACGUCUAGUUUCUUUACAAUGUUUUGGCCAAUAAUGUACAUUCAGCUUUUUAUUCCUCUUCCUUGAUGCAUUUACAAUUACAAAAUUUAUUCAGAGACCAAAGGGUUGAUUCUAAAGUUUAAAUACGCUAUAGUUUAAACAAUGAUUACAGGGUCUAAUAAAAAGAAGCAGAUCGUUCCAGCAAAUAAUUUUGCAAUAUGACAAACAAUCUCAAUCCACGAAAAACAAAACAAAACAAGAAAUUACCCAAAACCAGCAAAGCAAACAAACAGAAGCAGCGUACAAGUCUAAAUGUUACUGUGAGAUUAACCAAUGUCUGGAAAGAAUAAUGGAAGGAAACAGCUGUUUCGUUAAAAACUUGAGUCAAAUAACUCGAGAAAAAUUCUUACAUCAGAUCCUCCGUGUAAAUUGUUGUGGUUGUGUUACCUUCUUGAACAUUUAGAAAGGACUGUUCAUGUAGGUAUCAUAGCAAGUUUCACUAAGUGAGGAUAUGUCUACUGAGUAGACAGAUUUUGAACAAAUGUAUUUUGAACAAAUUCAUUGAGUCAGUGACUUGAUCAAUCUUAUUCCAGGACUUCUACUUUUGUAUCUCUUUGUUUCAGCUGUAAAGUGAAGGCUUAUGCGAAGUGAACUACAUCUUAUUAAUCGAGGAGUUCACAUCUUCCAUGACUGCAAUUCUUUGAAGUGUUGGGAGAAACAGAAAUAUUUAUCAUGUUCUCAAGGUGGUUUCUGAAGCUUUCAACCUUGUAUCUAGGUUACAGCCAAUGCCUCUUUCGUCAGCCCUUUCGUAGACUGUGAAAUCAGCAGUUUAAAAAGACAUUCUCAGCACAGGAAGCACAGGGGAACUAAUACACAUAAUUGAUCUUCAGACUCCCAAGAAACCUGCUAACAGGGUUUUAUUUCUGUAGUCAUCCAAAGGAUUAGACUGCUUGGUAAAACACUUUCACUCUGUUUCUGCCUCUUACUCUCUGUGUACCUUAACCUUUUUUCCUCUCUGUGAUAAAACUACGUGUUGUCUAUAUUUUCUUUUUAAUUAUUUUUAUAAAAUAUCCAUUGCUACUUUUUCACUCAGCCAAGCACAUUCUGCAGUGAGAUCACAGCUUCUUAUAACACUUGAAAGACACUCAGCACAGUAUCUUCAAUAAAAAAGAAACCCAAACCCUACUACAGGGUUUAUUUUUGCUGUUUUGGAAGUUCAUCCAGAAAGAAAACAGUAACAGCACAGCUUUUAUAUCUGUCAUUAAGUGUACGUGAAAUGCUAUCAUAGAACUAAAUAAGUUAAUAUUAUCUUCUCAAGCUAGUGGUGUCUUGAUCAUUGAUAAGUAGAAGCUUAUAUUUACUGUGCAGUGUUUUAAUUCCCCCUGGCACGUUAUUCACUCCUGAAUGCACAAUUUGGUUUAUAGGUAUUGUUCCACUUUCCUACAUGCCCACUGUGCUCUCUCAUUGUUUUCUGUUCCUUUCAGCCAUUUCCCUGAGAUACUGUAAUAAUCUUGAUAUCUCCCAGUCACUUCAUUAGUCUCCUCUGUUAGCCAUCCUCAUAGUGAGUUCUUGACAACACUCAUCAAUUCUGGAUGCUUCAAUUAAUUGAACCAGCACCUAUCUUCUCUCUACUUCUGUUAGCUCCUUCCACCAGUACUUUAAAAUACCCAGUAAAACAAUACUGUGGGAUGGUAACAGCUCAGUGACUUCAACACAGCGAGAAUGAGCUGAUAAUUUCAUCAGAAAUUUUAGUCAGAAAUAUCCUGCCAUCUCCCCCUGCUCCAAAUUCAAUUUUCAGCUCUGUUUCUAGGGACUCGUAAUAACAUAGAAAUCAAGAAAGAUAGAUGAACUAUACUUCUUUUGAUUUUUUUUUUCCCCUGCAUCUUAGUAGGGGUAUGUUAUUUCCUGGAUUGAUGAGCUCAUGAGAGAGUAAAUUCAGAGGCCUUAAAGAAAAUGUGCAGUCCUUUCCAGUUGUCCUCUAUUCAUGCAUUUGGGAUCAACAUGUAAGUGAAUGUGUGUGUUUGUGUGUCUAUGCAUGUUUGGUGUGACCUGAAACUUCUAAGCACUAAGUAAAUUGUUCCACCCAAUUAUUUAAUUUUGAAUUUAUUAUCUAUGUAACAAUCAAAAAUAAUAUUUGCAUGUUUUUAUGGAAAUUCAAGUGAACUAAGAAGGAAGAAACAGUCUUUGCUGUAAUCCUCCACUGGAGUAUAUACUUGCUAGUAAAUGCUUUCAAAUUAA